rnacentral:lncRNA from 14 species
GACACCUCUCUGGCUUUAUGUGCAUCGGCAGGACUAGAUGACUUCAAAGCAUUUCAAAAGGAUGGUGUGAUUUAGAUGUACAACCUCAUCUCCCCCCUCAAACACAAAGCACUCCCAAACACCAAAACCAAACCAGCACAGAUGUGGAGACCAGGGCCACCCACAUCACUCCCCCAUUGGAACUAAGCACAGGUAGAGCUGGCAAUUAAGUGUUUCUGAUUCACAGGAAUGACGACCUAUAAGGAGGCAAUACCCAACACGGAUGGGGUGAGUCACACCAGCAACCUGCAGAGUGGGGAGGCCAAGAAAAAGCCAACAAAUCAAAUGAACCAUCAGAUCUCUGGGACAGGGAGGUGCUUCCUUCCCAGAUGGGGUGCACAGAGAGGGUAUAAAAGCGAUCCCAUCCAGGGGAGCUUCAUUCCCUCCUUGCUCCUUUGCUGCACAAGCAUCUCAGGUCACCUGGAAACACAGCCAUGUGCUCUCGCCAGGACAGGGACCACUGCCAUGAGCAGGAGCUCCACAGCAGCGGUGGUGGAUGCCACCGCUCCAGUGGUGGAUGCCACCGCUCCAGUGGUGGAUGCCACAGCUCCAGUGGUGGAUGCCACAGCUCUGGUGGCAGCGGUGGCUGUCACAGCUCCGGUGGUGGCUGCCAUAGCUCCGGUGGUAGUGGCUGCCAUAGCUCGGGCGGUGGAUGCCAUAGCUCCAGCAGCGGAUGCCAUAGCUCCGGUGGCAGUGGCUGCCAUAGCAUCCCACAGGUCCACUACCAGCAGCAGCAGCAGCAGCAGCAGCAGAUCCCCCAGCUGCCCUGCCAGAAGAUGAAGUGAGCUCCCAAUGGCUCCAGCAGCAAGGGCCACGCAUGGACCAGCUCCCUCUGGUCUCCCCACAGCUUUGGGGCUGUCCGGCUUCAAACCCUCUUCUCUGCCCUCCAGCUCCCUGGGGAAGGGGCAUCACCUGUGGUCCCUGCUGCCUCUGCCUGAUGCACCAGGCUGUGCUUGGGCCCCAUGAGGUGCCCAUGAGACAAUAAAGCUUUGAAUUAGCAAGACUUCCCUUGUGUU